GUCGUCAGCUCGUGUCGUGAGAUGUUGGUUAAGUCCCGCAACGAGCGCAACCCUUAUCAUUAGUUGCUACGCAAGGGCACCCUAAUGAGACUGCCGGUGGACAAAACCGGAGGAAGGUGGGGGAUGACGUCAAGUCCUCAUGGCCCUUAUGGGUAGGGCUUCACACGUCAUACAAUGGUCGGUACAGAGGGUUGCCAAGCCGCGAGGCGGAGCCAAUCCCACAAAGCCGAUCGUAGUCCGGAUUGUUCUCUGCAACUCGAGAGCAUGAAGUCGGAAUCGCUAGUAAUCGCAGGUCAGCAUACUGCGGUGAAUACGUUCCCGGGUCUU
rnacentral:rRNA from 1 species